rnacentral:rRNA from 1 species
AAACUUUCAACAACGGAUCUUUUGGUUCUGGCAUCGAUGAAGAACGCAGCGAAAUGCGAUAAGUAAUGUGAAUUGCAGAAUUCAGUGAAUCAUCGAAUCUUUGAACGCACAUUGCGCCCCCUGGUAUUCCGGGGGGCAUCCCUGUUCGAGCGUCAUG